CGCGCUCCUCGACCGCAGCCCUAGUCUUCUUGGUGGCUAUAAUCUUAACGUAACAUUGUCACUUGCAAAUAAAACAGAAUUCGGAAAUCCAAUCAAGGAUAAAACAACAGAAGAAGAAAAAACAGAAUAAUAUUAUUAACGUUUGAAGGAGUUUUAAAGGCAUAUUUUCGUUGUCGUUGGAAUAACAUAUAUUGAAAUAUGUAUGAUUCGAAGGAAAGCGGUUUGUUUUUGCGUAUAAAGGAAAACUCCAAGAAUAUUGAACUGCCAGUUGUUCUCGACGUUAAUAUGAAUGUAAAAGUUUGUCAUCGCAACGAGGAAUUAACCUGGAUGCAAUGGGAUCAGCCAAC